UGACUGUGUGGAUGGUGUUCAGCACCAAGGACAGAUUUGUCUGCAUGUGGAUGUUGUUCAGCACCAAGAAGAGAUUUUUCUGUAU
rnacentral:pre_miRNA from 1 species